UCGCGGAUCAGCAUGCCGCGGUGAAUACGUUCCCGGGCCUUGUGCACACCCGCCCGUCACACCAUGAGAGUCGGGAACACCCGAAGUCCGUAGCCUAACCGCAAGGGGGGCGCGGCCGAAGGUGGGUACGAUAAUUGGGGUGAAGUCGUAACAAGGUAAC
rnacentral:rRNA from 1 species